UCUCAAGUAGCUUACCUACAACUGUAGUUAGACUAAUGGGUCGGUAGUUACCAGGUAUUUUUUUGUGUCCUUUCUUAAAAAUCGGUGUCACGUUAGCCUUUUUCCAAUCUGAAGGGACGAUGCCUUGUCGCAAGGACAUAAUAAAUAUGGUUGUAAGGGAGGAGAGUAUUUCGCUCUUUGUUUCUUUAAGCAGUAUAGGAUAUACUUCAUCGGGUCCGGGACUUUUAUUUGUUUUAAGUGAAUGGAGAGCUUUAAGGACUUCAUCGGUUGUUAUUUCAAAAUUAGGCAAUGCAUGCUCGAAAUUCACAUUAGUACGUUGUUAUUUCAAAUUUAGGCAAUGCAUGCUCGAAAUUUACAUUAGUACUGGUGUUGGAGGUAGCGGGAGGAAGACUGUAAGCAUUAAACACUGAGGAAAAGUAAUUGUUUAAGAGGUUUGCAAUGUGUUGGCUGUCAGUCACUAGUGCACCGUCGCUGUUUGUUAAAGGUCCAAUUCCACUUCUGAUCACCUUUCUGUUGUUUAUGCAACUGAAGAAAGAUUUUGGAUUAUUUUUACAGCUGGCUGCAAUAUUUUCUUCAUAUCUACGCUUUGCCUGACAUACUAAUCUUUUUACUCGUCGCCUGGCAUCAUUAUAAAGUCUAAUGUUUUCGGGCAUGCUUUAUUCUUUCUUUGACCUGUAAAACAAUUUUCUCUCCUUGACUGAGUGUUUAAUUUCGCUAUUAAACCAAGGUGGGCUUUUAUUAGUGUUAAUUCGCUUCUCGCACAAGGGGACGAAUGUGUUCUGCUGAGUGAGUAAGUGAUUUUUAAAGCUUAGCCAGGCUUCCUCUACAUUGCCGUCAUCUGAUAGUUGUAUUUGUUAGUUUUUGUUGGAUUUCUACGAAGUUAGCUCUUUUGAAAUUGGGCACCUUUAGAGAGAGAGAGAGAGAGAGAGAGAGAGAGAGAGAGAGAGAGAGAAUAUCCAUAACACCGAGAUAUCCACUCAGGCACUCAGUCUCAGCCUCUCACUCGUGUGAGGAAGAAAUGAGGGACAUCAUGAGCGACCGGCUAGUAUUAGUACCGGUACCGAGCAGUCUGGUACUGGUACCUGCCCACCCCUAGGUUCCAGUACCGACCUGACGACUACACGUACAGUACAUAUAAGGUGCAAGGUACAUGUGCACAGUAUUCCCUCGGUGACAGGCGAUGCGAGCACGGUGUCCCAAGAACUAACCCCCGGCAAAGGCCAAAACCACUAUGGUCUUGGCCGAUCCUUGCACGGCAAAACACGGUACCAGGACGGUACGUGCCCGGCAAGUGCUCGGCACCGCACGGUUCACCCUGGUAAACACCCCGCUAAAGCAGCACCGCCUAUAUAUUGGGCACCCUGUCCAAAGCACUGUUAGCUGAGAUGGGGUCAGGGUUGCCAGGUUUACUCAGGGACUCGAUACCAAAUACUUCAAUUUUAAAUACCAGAUUCUCUUUUUCAAUACCAAAUUGAUAAUAAAACAUAUAUUCACCCCGAACGUUCCAACUAAGAUACGAAAAUAUUAAACUUUUAAAUACUAUAAAAAAAAA